UUCCGGUUGAUCCUGCCGGACUCGACUGCUAUCGGGGUGGGGCUAACCCAUGGAAGUCUAGGAGCCGGGGCUACGGCCGGCUCCGGCGGACGGCUCAGUAGCACGUGGCUAACCUACCCUCGGGAGGGGGAUAACCCCGGGAAACUGGGGAUAAUCCCCCAUAGGUGCAGACUCCUGGAAUGGGUCUGCGCCGAAAGGGCUGCAGCGCCAUGCCCGCUGCAGCCGCCCGAGGAUGGGGCUGCGGCCCAUCAGGUAGUUGGCGGGGUAACGGCCCGCCAAGCCGAUAACGGGUGGGGGCCGUGAGAGCGGGAGUCCCGAGAUGGGCACUGAGACAAGGGCCCAGGCCCUACGGGGCGCACCAGGGGCGAAACUUCCGCAAUGCGGGAAACCGUGACGGAGUCACCCCGAGUGCCACCCGAUGAGGGUGGCUUUUGCCCGGUCUAAAAAGCCGGGCGAAUAAGCGGGGGGCAAGCCUGGUGUCAGCCGCCGCGGUAAUACCAGCCCCGCGAGUGGUCGGGACGAUUAUUGGGCCUAAAGCGUCCGUAGCCGGCCCGGUAAGUCCCCCUUUAAAGCCCACGGCUCAACCGUGGGAGCGGGGGGAUACUGCCGGGCUAGGGGGCGGGAGAGGCCGGGGGUACUCCUGGGGUAGGGGCGAAAUCCUAUAAUCCCAGGAGGACCACCAGUGGCGAAGGCGCCCGGCUGGAACGCGCCCGACGGUGAGGGACGAAAGCUGGGGGAGCAAAGGGGAUUAGAUACCCCCGUAGUCCCAGCUGUAAACGAUGCGGGCUAGGUGUUGGGCGGGCCUCGAGCUCGCCCAGUGUCGUAGGGAAGCCGUUAAGCCCGCCGCCUGGGGAGUACGGCCGCAAGGCUGAAACUUAAAGGAAUUNGGCGGGGGAGCACCACAAGGGGUGGAACCUGCGGCUCAAUUGGAGUCAACGCCUGGAAUCUUACCGGGGGAGACCGCAGUAUGACGGCCAGGCUUACGACCUUGCCUGACUCGCGGAGAGGAGGUGCAUGGCCGUCGCCAGCUCGUGUUGUGAAAUGUCCUGUUAAGUCAGGCAACGAGCGAGACCC
rnacentral:rRNA from 1 species